UGGGCAUUGGGGCUGUGCCACCCGUGGUGACACAGAGCCCUGCUGUGCAGCUCCAGCCCAACCCCACUGCGCUCAGGGCUGAUGCAGUGGGGUAAGCUGGGGAAACGGGCUGCAGGAGGAGCCUUUGGUGCAUGGGGAGCUCCUGCUCUGCAUCUCCGCACAGUGCCUCAUUCCCGUGUCCUAAUUGCAGCCAGUGAGUCUGCCUGCAGCACUGGCAGCGGUGGGGCACAGGGGUGGGGGCUGCUCUGUCUCUUUGGGCGAUGCUGAGCGCUGCGGUGAGGGAUGUGGGGCAGUGCGUGGUGGGCUGUGUGGGUGUCCCACCCCCGCCCCCCUGUGCCCAGGUUGUCCCCCCUCCGUCCCCAAGCUCUGCAAGGCUGGACCUGCCCAACUUCGUCGUCCCUGUGGGUGCAGCAGUCCCUGCCCCAGCGCUGCCUGCCCCAACCUCGGUGUUCCCAGCACUCAGGGAUGGCAGCAGGACACAAACGUGCCCCGCGCUGUUUUGUUCAGGUCCGACACAAACAACGGUGGUAGAUUUCCUCUGUGUCAGCAGCGCAGCUGUCCUGCGAGCCUCCUGCAGGGUGAGGGCAGCAAGGUGGUGACAGCUGUGUCCGGAGUGAGGUGCCAGGGCCCCCUGGGACCUCAGGGCAUCACUUUACAUAGGCACAAUAGCAGCUGGGUGAAUUGCAGGGCCCGUGGUGCCUCUGCUGUUGGGUGCUGGAGUGCAUCUCGUACGAUGUUAAAUCUGGUGGCACCCACCAUGGUGCACCACAGGCAGAAAUGGGAUCCUCGCGGCCGCCCCUUCCCCCCCCCCAGCACCUUACACUGCCGACACCAUCUGCAGCGCAACAAGAAAUCCCAAGCCAUACAUGUUUAAUUUUCUACAACACAGCAGCCAUUUCAGCCACACACCCAGAAAGGAUCUUUAAUGAGAAGCGAGGAGAGAGAGCACGCAGCACGCAGGAGAGCCGAGGCACUAUGGAAACACUCUGCUCCCUCCCGGCUGCCUGCCGCUGCUCCGAGUUCAGCCCGGAGAACUUCCCUGCACUGCUGGAGGUUGAUGAGGAGGGAUUGCCGUGACCCCGUGCCUGUGACAGUCGUUUCAGGGCUAAGCGGGGCAUCCGAGCAGCACAGAGCCCCGUCGGUGGGUCCCGGGCUCCUCCAGCAGCAAGAUGGCUUUCUGGGGUGGCAUCCCCCCUGAUAGCAGCUCCGGAUAGCGGCUGCACCGGGGCAGCACCGAGUCCCCAGGAACAGGUCAGGUACAGCCCUCCCAGCCCUGCACCCCGCGCCAUGCACCCUGCACCAUGCACCCCGCACCCUGCACCCUGCACCAUGCACCCUGCACCACGCACCCCGCACCCUGCACCCUGCACCAUGCACUCUGCUGCAUGGGCCUGGAGCGGCAGUGGAGGAUGUAGGGGGGGCAGAACUCCCAUGAAUGAGGGAUGUGUUGGUGAGGCUGAGCCAGGGGGUGGUGAUGGGACCCUUCCUUUGGUGGUAGUGGUGGUAGUCGGUG
ensembl:lncRNA